rnacentral:rRNA from 1 species
AUCAGUCGACUCCUACGGGAGGCAGCAGUGGGAAUAUGACAAUGGGCGCAAGCCUGAUGCAGCCAUGCCGCGUGUGUGAAGAAGGCCUUCGGGUUGUAAAGCACUUUCAGUCGUGAGGAAGGUAGUGUAGUUAAUAGCUGCAUAUUUGACGUUAGCGACAGAAGAAGCACCGGCUAACUCCGUGCCAGCAGCCGCGGUAAUACGGAGGGUGCGAGCGUUAAUCGGAAUUACUGGGCGUAAAGCGCAUGCAGGUGGUUUGUUAAGUCAGAUGUGAAAUCCCCGGGCUCAACCUGGGAACUGCAUUGGUGACUGGCAGGCUAGAGUAUGGCAGAGGGGGGUAGAAUUCCACGUGUAGCAGUGAAAUGCGUAGAGAUGUGGAGGAAUACCGAUGGCGAAGGCAGCCCCCUGGGCCAAUACUGACGCUCAUGCACGAAAGCGUGGGGAGCAAACAGGAUUAGAUACCCUGGUAG